rnacentral:rRNA from 1 species
ACCUAAGAGAUUAGGCGUUCCCUUCGGGGACGGAAUGACAGGUGGUGCAUGGUUGUCGUCAGCUCGUGUCGUGAGAUGUUGGGUUAAGUCCCGCAACGAGCGCAACCCUUAUUGUCAGUUGCCAGCAUUUAGUUGGGCACUCUGGCAAGACUGCCGGUGACAAACCGGAGGAAGGUGGGGAUGACAUCAAAUCAUCAUGCCCCUUAUGACCUGGGCUACACACGUGCUACAAUGGACGGUACAACGAGUCGCGAAACCGCGAGGUCAAGCUAAUCUCUUAAAGCCGUUCUCAGUUCGGAUUGUAGGCUGCAACUCGCCUACAUGAAGUUGGAAUCGCUAGUAAUCGUGGAUCAGCAUGCCACGGUGAAUACGUUCCCGGGUCUUGUACACACCGA